GGAUAAGCAAAUGGAAAUAGACUGGCCUUAGGAUUGCUACUUGUUUGACUGGUCAUAAUCUGUGUGUGGGGUCGCUGCUUACACCUGUGCUGAACUUCUUCACUACUGUAUAACUGCUAACACCUGUAGCCUUUGCACAGGCAUGUUUGAUUAGUGGGCUGUUUUUCCUACUGCUCCUUCAUCUUUGAUCACUUUUAUACUUCUAUCUACAUAUCCAACAACCAAGUUUUAUGCACCACGAAGACCUCUUUCACAUCCUGAGGAUCUCCUGAGUAUUGCCGUGCUGUUAUGGUUGCUGCAUCACUGACUUGGCUGAUGGAACUGAGAACAGGCUUAAAAAUGCAGAGGAGCCACAAUAAGUUGUGAAUGGAAGGAUCUUUAAUGAGCACCUGGGAGGAUAAAAUCUGAAUUUGGAUUGAUCUUAAGGUGAAGAAUUAGGAUCAAGCAACCAAUGUAGGUGGCCUGUGCAUGGAGUUCUGAGGUCCGUAUCCCAUAGUGCUGCAGAAGGGUUCUCGUGGCUCCUCUCAUAGCCUGUGCAGUCUGCAGACGAUGGAUUGAUUUGAGCUUGCCUUCCUUCAGCUGGCUGACAAGGCCGUUCAGCUCUGAGUCCGUGGGAUCUGCCAGGUUAUGGCAUUGUCUUGAGGAAGAGCUGCUGCCAGUUUCUUGUUACCUCUCUGUUUUCCCUGCUGCAAGCUAACUAGAAGCCUGAUCUUCAAGAGAAGGAUGUGCAACUUCGUGUAAGCUGUGUAUUACCCAGCAACAGAAACGUUUCUGCACAGUAUAUGAAAAAAUAAUGUUCUUAUUGCAGAGAAGGAGCAUGUGUUAUGUUGGAAGGAGCUUCACAGAUCAUCAGAUCAUCUCAGAUUAAUAUUCUUCUGCUAUGAUGAAAUACUUUGUAAUAUUUUUAAUAUUUGGUUGUGUCAAAUUUAAGAACAUGAUAGGGAAACUUUGUCUAGAAGAUGUCAUUUAACAGUGGAAUGUGAUUGACUGUUUGGAACCUUAAAAAACUGAUGAAAUGGCACAGAGAAGGAGGUGAAAGCAGAUAACUGAUACAGCCAAGGCAUUAGUAGAGUCAAUACAAAAUGUGUCUGGAUGUGGGCAGGGACAUUUUCACAAGGCUUUUAGAGCAAAGAGGAAUUAUGUGAUUAGGAAGCUAGGGUCAAGAGUAUGGCCACAAGUUGCAUGAUGUGAAUGCAGAGAAGAGAACUGCUGUUAUAAACAGCAGACCAAAGGGAAGAGUGACAGCACCUGAAGUAGUCAGGUAGUCUAAUCAGUUAGUAGUCUAAUCUACCAAAUCAGUUAGGUCCAUCUUCUUGAUAUGAAAUAUGAAAAUGAAUUUGCAGAGAACCUUGUGGUCUUAAUCUAAAAUGUUUCUGUUCUUUCCUGGAGUCAAGGCCAAAAUGUUUUGCAUCAUUCCAAUUUCAGCCAUAGCAGAACUAACUUGUAAAUUUGGAUAAUGUACAUGGCAGGAAGAGUGUAACCCUGACAGACUUAACAAAAAGAUCCCCACACAUUAUUAGAAUAUUUACUCUUCAGUUACUACAGACUGUUCAGAACGGCCAUCUUUGUCUAACACUGAUUGUGACGUGUCUGCAAUUUACUGAAGUUAUCAGGAAGUUUUCAAUAGACGUGUCCUAUUUUCUCAGUCUCCUAGCAAUAAAAUGCCAUUAUGAAAUGCACGUAUUCCAUGUACUUGUAUGAAGAGCAUUUAAUAGAGUAAAUGGUAGAAGUGCAUUUGCAGUUUGUGUAAUGGCUACCAUGCAAGAACAAGCACAGCCAAAAGUGCAAUUUUGCUCAUCUGUGGGAUGUAUUUUACUUUACAGUUCUUUUGAAAGAUUCUUAUUGGCAUUUAAAAUAGAGGCUACAUUGGUCAUGAGUGUAAUUGCUUUAACUAUAGAUGUUCUUUUUAUAAUUUUCAUUUUUUUUUUAAUCAAGAAGAGUGAAAACAAACUUUGCAAACCAUCGGCUCCAUCGCCAACCGUUUGUAGACUUUCAGAGCUUGCAAUAAAUCUUGUUUGGCGUAGUAGGUGUACUUAACAUGGUGUUUGAGGAGAGAAAGGUGAACGCUUUUCUGCCUAGCUGACAUUAUCUACUCUGCAGUCAGUAACAGAAGGAGGAAGCACAUGUAAGAGAUGCUAAGUCGUCUUCUAUGAGUCCGUUUCUAUGCUGCAUCUGCCAGAUCCUAGCUUAGGUGUAUCUAAAAACAGAUUGUAUGAAUUACCCCUCCAAUAAUUCUUCAGUAUUUGUGUAAAUCUUUUUUCCAAGGAUCAGUCCUCUAACCAUCUUAAAAAGCCUAAUAUUGCUCCCUUUGAUAUGGAGAAGAGGUCAUUCCUGAAUGUGUUUCUAUUAAGAAUUUUUCUCUAAUUGUGCAAUGUACUGUUCCUUUUUUUGCUCAAUAAUGUCUGUGUAUUUCUGUUUAAUUUCUCUUUUGUGGUCUUCUAAUUAUCAAAAUGGACCUCGGUAUUGCCUUGGGCAACUUUCAAAGCCCCUUGUGAAUUGCAGGCUUGACAUUAAGGCAAUUAUAUAUAAAUUUUACUUUGCAAAUUUAAAAUAAUGCUGUCACAUACAUAUUUAUUUUAAUGUCCUAAUCCUACCAGCAUUUUUUUUUUCUUC
ensembl:lncRNA